CGUGGCUCGGUAGCUCCUUGCUUUAAGCACAGGCCUCGAGAAAAAACUAUAAUUGAUAAGACCAUUGACGGCCAAGUUAUCGUCAAGGAUGACCGUACGGUUAAAAUAAUGACCCAGGACGAGCUCGUCCUUGUAGCCUCAAACACAUUAAACUCCGAUGGAUUGAGUCCUCCAAAAAGGACGCUAACAAUAUCAAAAAAAGUUUAAAAGUGCUGAACGAGUGUGGAGACAAAAUCCCCCGGUUCGUCUCCCACUACCUGGACGAGCUGCCACCGGUGACAAUUAAUAACCUGGAUGUCUCUCAAGCCUGCUCAGCAAGAUGGAGCGGCUGCACAGUGAGAUCUCCGCGAAGGCAUGCAGUUAAACUUCAGGCAAAUGUCGAGAACCUGUGUUCUGUGACUGAGACCAUAGGCUCCGCUCCAGAGUUGAUGCUGUUGAACGCCGGCUGGAACCGAGCAACGGAGGAGGACCGGCUAUCUCGGCUGGGAAGAAUAGCGAGGAGCUGGCUAGGAAGCUGGCUAGUGGGAGCGUCCCUGGCUCUCCUGCGGAUCCCAUUUGUGUCCGCGCUCCUGUAUCACCUCGCACGAAGUUGGCGACGUGAGCGUCUGUGCCAAGGCAGGUGCAGGGAGUGGGACUACGCGUGUACGCCCGAAUCAAACUUCUUAACGCAAAUGUUGAGUAAUUCCACUGGUGCUCAGAUAAAGUUAAGAUAAGCUUGUUUAAAGCAUACUGUACUCCUCUGUAUACUGCCCCCUUAUGGACCAAGUUUAAAAAGUCUAGCAUCCAGAAGCUCCAGAUUGCCUAUAAUGAUGAUGUGCGUAUAGGCCUACUGCUUAAAAAACCCAGGUGGAGCAGUGCAAGUGAACUAUUUUGUAGGGUAGAGGUCGACACAUUCCUUGCACUGUUGAGAAACCUAAUGCACAAAUUAAUUUGCAGAUUGAAUGGUUCAUGUAACCUCAUCUUUGUCAAACCCUGGUCUUAGUACUGUGCGAUACCAAUCAUCCAUGUGGAAACACUGGUAUAAUUGCCUUUUUUAAUUGUCCUGUUGUUGUUUGUGUAUGGGC
ensembl:lncRNA